GCUGCGCAUGCGCGGUGGUAGUGUUGCGUUCGCGCCGGGAUCUUGGGUGCUGGCGGCCUUCCGAAAGUUACCUGGUUCGUUCUUCCGCAUCUUUCCUUCUGGGCAGGCUUGGCCGUCCCGACGGAAACUUGUCGGCAAUGUUCUAAGAGCUUGGGACACAGCAGUGAAUAAAACAGACAAAAACCCCUGGUCUCAUGAGUUCUCCUGGGUGAAACAGCCAACCGGAUAGAUGCCGUAUGUGUGCUAAAGGGAGACAGUAAGAGGACUAUGAAGUGUCAUGGGGUGCACAAUAAAGAAGAGAAAAAAGAAAAAGAAAAGAAAAAAAAGCCGACCACUGGGAACUGCUAUCACAGAGUGAGGCCUCGCAGCAAACCUUCACAGCGGCUCCUCCGUUAGCACGCAGUGAAAGGCCAUGGCCGCAGGGCGACAGCCAGUUCUCUGCCUGCAAAGGUCUCCAUAUUUAUUACUGAACCAACCUACCAACGCAGAACUUAGAGACAAGGUGAAGCAUCAUUUUUUUCCAGUAAACACAAGUGUCCAGGCACUGGUGACCAUUUUCAGUUUGAUGAGGCAAGACCAUAGUGACCUUGGUACAGCAUAAAUAUGUGGCCCACAUCCUGUCCAGUUCCUCCUAGACCCAGCGUGGUUCUUCUCCAGUGUCUCCUCUUGGAGCUGUAUCUGAUUUUAUUACCAGUUUCAUUCUAAUCCACUGGGGAAUGGGACGAUUUUGCUUCUGUUUUUUGGCCAAAAACCACUUGAUUCUGAAAGUCUUGUGAGAACACAUGGGGAAAAGCCAAGUGGACCGCACACACCACGAUGGCAGAGAAAGGAA